UAAGCCAAGGAAGGAGCAGUACGUUAGCUAAGCCAAUGAAGGAGCAGUAGGUUAGCUAAGCCAAGGAAGGAGAAGUAGUUUAGCUGAGCCAAGGAAGGAGCAGUAGGUCAGCUGAGCCAAGGAAGGAGCAGUAGGUCAACUAAGCCAAGGAAGGAGCAGUAGGUCAGCUAAGCCAAGGAAGGAGCAGUAGGUCAGCUGAGCCAAGGAAGGAGCAGUAGGUCAGCUGAGCCAAGGAAGGAGCAGUAGGUCAGCUAAGCCAAGGAAGGAGCAGUAGGUUAGCUAAGCCAAGGAAGGAGCAGUAGGUUAGCUAAGCCAAGGAAGGAGCAGUAGGUUAGCUAAGCCAAGGAAGGAGCAGUAGGUUAGCUAAGCCAAGGAAGGAGCAGUAGGUUAGCUAAGCCAAGGAAGGAGCAGUAGGUUAGCUAAGCCAAGGAAGGAGCAGUAGGUUAGCUAAGCCAAGGAAGGAGCAGUAGGUUAGCUAAGCCAAGGAAGGAGCAGUAGGUUAGCUAAGCCUAGGAAGGAGCAGUAGGUCAGCUAAGCCAAGGAAGGAGCCAGUAGGUCAGCUUAGACAAACUGAGGAAGGAGCAGUAGGUUAGCUAAGGCAAGGAAGGAGCAGUAGGUCAGCUAAGCCAAGGAAGGAGCAGUAGGUCAGCUAAGCCAAGGAAGGAGCAGUAGGUCAGCUGAGCCAAGGAAGGAGCAGUAGGUCAGCUGAGCCAAGGAAGGAGCAGUAGGUCAGCUGAGCCAAGGAAGGAGCAGUAGGUCAGCUGAGCCAAGGAAGGAGCAGUAGGUCAGCUGAGCCAAGGAAGGAGCAGUAGGUCAGCUAAGCCAAGGAAGGAGCAGUAGGUCAGCUGAGCCAAGGAAGGAGCAGUAGGUCAGCUGAGCCAAGGAAGGAGCAGUAGGUCAGCUGAGCCAAGGAAGGAGCAGUAGGUCAGCUGAGCCAAGGAAGGAGCAGUAGGUCAGCUGAGCCAAGGAAGGAGCAGUAGGUCAGCUGAGCCAAGGAAGGAGCAGUAGGUCAGCUGAGCCAAGGAAGGAGCAGUAGGUCAGCUAAGCCAAGGAAGGAGCAGUAGGUCAGCUAAGCCAAGGAAGGAGCCAGUAGGUCAGCUAAGCCAAGGAAAGUGAGGAAGCAGCAGUAGCUAAGCUGAGGAAGGAGCAGUAGGUCAGCUAAGCCAAGGAAGGAGCAGUAGGUCAGCUGAGCCAAGGAAGGAGCAGUAGGUCAGCUGAGCCAAGGAAGGAGCAGUAGGUCAGCUAAGCCAAGGAAGGAGCAGUAGGUUAGCUAAGCCAAGGAAGGAGCAGUAGGUUAGCUAAGCCAAGGAAGGAGCAGUAGGUUAGCUAAGCCAAGGAAGGAGCAGUAGGUUAGCUAAGCCAAGGAAGGAGCAGUAGGUUAGCUAAGCCAAGGAAGGAGCAGUAGGUUAGCUAAGCCAAGGAAGGAGCAGUAGGUUAGCUAAGCCAAGGAAGGAGCAGUAGGUUAGCUAAGCCAAGGAAGGAGCAGUAGGUCAGCUGAGCCAAGGAAGGAGCAGUAGGUCAGCUGAGCCAAGGAAGGAGCAGUAGGUCAGCUGAGCCAAGGAAGGAGCAGUAGGUCAGCUAAGCCAAGGAAGGAGCAGUAGGUCAGCUAAGCCAAGGAAGGAGCAGUAGGUCAGCUAAGCCAA